CCCCAGUAAGUUCUACAAUGUUCUCUUUCUUCCGCUCUAUUUGGCAUUCAGUUCUGCGUAUUAUAUUUCCCAAAGGCUCCAUUUGUGGUUUCUAAAUUUCUAGCCCAGCUCUGUUUCAUUUGUUAGUUCUGAUAAGUUUUCCCCUGCUUUUUCCUUUCUUGCAGUGAUUUUUGCCCAUCACUUCUAGAUUUUCUGUGAAGGUGUUCUACUAUAACAACAGUUAUGCCUCAGUCUAAAAUAAGUUGGGAUAGGCGAUAUGAAUCUUCAUUAUUUUAGUAAAAGAGCGACGAGCCUUUGGAGGGAUGGCGAAAACUUUUACCAUAUUAAAGUAAUCCUUAUGUUUUCUUGAAAAGCGUAACAACUCUUAUUGGUGGAAGUGAUCUGCAGUAAUUUUUCAAUUAAAAGUUUUUUAUGACAUUUAUUCAGGUUAGAAUCCUUUUUUGGUAUUCUGACCCUGCAAGGUUGAGGGUACUUAAAUAUAGAAACCCAACUGAUUUAAUUUCGCUCUCUAUCGUGGUAUUUCUUACUGCUUAAACUUUAUUAUAGGCAUCUGCUCAGUUGAAAAACAGUGUGCGAGAUAUGACUGUGUCUGCCUACAAUUAACUGGGUAUUUUAUAGUUAUCAUGACUCAUAAGCAUGCAUGGAUAAUCAAUUGAAUCUUCUUAUGUUCACAAUCCGAAGAUAUCUCAUGUCUUAAAGAUUAUGAAGAACUAUAUAUUGAAGAUAUUCUUACAAAAGUUGAUGUAACUAUUAUCAAAAGUGUUGCAUCUGAUGAUUAGAAAGAUCUUGAAAUGACAAUAGUUAAUUCCUUAGUUUCAUUCAAGAGGUUAUUUAGCCACCGCACUUUUCAAAUUGAAUGGGAAAUAGACCUUCAUUACUCGAUUUUCUGUUUACACAAUGGACAUUGUCAGAGAUAUUUUAACUAAUUUGGCUAGCGACUUGGAACUGUUGAUCUCCUUUUGCAUUAUGCCAAGGCAUUUGCAUUUUAAUUUUGUUGCUCUCAAAGGUAUAAGUACUUAUGAAAUUUUUUACAGUUUUUAGAAAAUUAUUUUCUUGAUAAUCUUGGCGCAUUUAUCUAUAUUUUGAUUUGGAAAUGUACUAAAAACCGCUCGGUAUAAUGCCAAACUAAGUUUCAGAAUGUGUUAAACCCGUCUGACACUGUUAUCUGGGAAUGAUUUUAUUUUGUGAAUUGCUAAAUAUUAUUAUGGUACUAGAACUGCUACUUAUUUUCAAGCCAGCUUACUAUGAACACUAAUAAUUAACGUUUUAUUUAUUCUGGCAUUACGUGCACGUGGUUUAACUAUUCUACGAAGGUAUGUUGAUUUUCAUUUUACUAGGUUUUUCAUAUUGCCUUCUUAAUAUUAUUUUUUCGCAAAACAUGUUGUCGGCAUGUGCUUUCUUUUCCCCUGCUUUCUAUAGAUGAUAUUUUGCGUUUGUUUCUAUUUCUUUAAGAUCGUUGUUAUUGUUAUUUAUGCUAUGAUAUGUGUUUCCCUCCUUAAUUCUUGAGUUGUUUACAUCUAUCCAUAGUAUCGAAAUACAAGUCAAUUGUAGUCCCACUAAGGAAAGAAAAGAUUUAGGAGAUGUAAUAGGAUUUACUAUGAACUUGGCUCAUCCUCUGGUAAUAUAUGUUUUCCCGUUGCAUAUAUCAUUGUUUGAAAAGUAGUUAAAUGUGUUUCAUUCUUAACUUUGAUAUUCAAGAUUCACAAAUAUUUUUAUUACUAUAUUUGAGUCAUUUGGCAGGAAACUAUCUAUGGGCAGAUUGUAAUAUUCGAGAAAGACAUCUUAGUGCUAUGCAUAAAGCUCUUUGUCAUAGCAUAAUGGAACUGCUUAAGGUGAGGAUCUAAGGCUUAUGAGUACAGAAUCCGAUGGUAUUUUAAAUUAGAACAAACUGUAUUUUUCAAAUUAUGCAACCAAAUUAAAUGGUUGACUAAUUGAAAAAUGAGAUCAUACACAUUGAAUGUUGAGAUUACGCAUUGAAUUUAUGGUAGUAGAUCCAUUAUUAGAAGUGUUUGUGAUUGUUCCAGGAGAAAUUAAACAAUAGAUAUGGUAGAGUUAGAACAGUUAUUUAUAUGAGGUCUCACCAAUGCUAGAUGCAUUUGCAGAAAAGUUUGAAGCUAGAAUUACGGCAUAUUAAUGAGAAACCUUCUCAUAUCAAAACAGAAAACUGUGUUAAAUUGCAAUUUCCAUAGUUGUCCUUUGAACGCAAGGAGAUGUACUUUUGGUUAUUGCUCUAAAUUACUACUGUGAAGUGCCUUUGUAGUCUUCU